rnacentral:rRNA from 2 species
UGGGGAAUCUUGCGCAAUGGGCGAAAGCCUGACGCAGCAACGCCGCGUGCGGGAUGAAGGCCUUCGGGUUGUAAACCGCUUUCAGCAGGGACGAACGUGACGGUACCUGCAGAAGAAGCCCCGGCUAACUACGUGCCAGCAGCCGCGGUAAUACGUAGGGGGCAAGCGUUAUCCGGAUUUAUUGGGCGUAAAGAGCGCGUAGGCGGUCUGUUAAGCGAGAUGUGAAAACCGGGGGCUCAACCCGCGGCCUGCAUCUCGAACUGGCAGACUUGAGUCUGGUAGAGGAAAGUGGAAUUCCUGGUGUAGCGGUGAAAUGCGCAGAUAUCAGGAGGAACACCAGUGGCGAAGGCGGCCUUCUGGGCCACGACUGACGCUGAGGCGCGAAAGCUAGGGGAGCGAACAGG